rnacentral:rRNA from 1 species
CCUACGGGGGGCAGCAGUGAGGAAUAUUGGUCAAUGGCCGCAGGGCUGAACCAGCCAAGUCGCGUGAGGGAUGACGGUCCUAUGGAUUGUAAACCUCUUUUGUCAGGGAGCAAAGGGCGCCACGUGUGGCGCUUUGCGAGUACCUGAAGAAAAAGCAUCGGCUAACUCCGUGCCAGCAGCCGCGGUAAUACGGAGGAUGCGAGCGUUAUCCGGAUUUAUUGGGGUUAAAGGGUGCGCAGGCGGAAUGUCAAGUCAGCGGUAAAAUUUCGGGGCUCAACCCCGUCGUGCCGUUGAAACUGGCGUUCUUGAGUGAGCGAGAAGUAUGCGGAAUGCGUGGUGUAGCGGUGAAAUGCAUAGAUAUCACGCAGAACUCCGAUUGCGAAGGCAGCAUACCGGCGCUCAACUGACGCUGAGGCACGAAAGCGUGGGGAUCGAACAGGAUUAGAUACCCCUGUAGUC